ensembl:lncRNA
CUUUAUUUUCCGGAGCUGAGGUUCACUUGUCCAUAAGUUCAGUCCAAGAAAUCGCAUACUUCAUACCCUUCUAAGCAAUUGAAGGAAACCCACUUCAGACUUCAAAUGGAACACGGAAACAUCUGAUCAACAUCAACCCUUGAAACACUGAGCGCAAAUAGGGAGCACGUGAGGCCACGCUGGGUGGGUGGACACUCCUCGCCCAGGUUCUGUGCCCGGCCUGUAGCGAUCCUAUCCGAAAAGUACCCAGGAUCUCCCUGGGCUGGUUUCCCUCGCCCCUGCCAGGCGGAGAAUGCAGCCAAGCCAGCACGCGGGGAGAAGCGAGGAGCCCGCGGUGCCACUGGGCAUGCUCAGAAACAGAGCAGGUUUAGGGCUCCAGCAGGCAGCUAGUGCGUUACACUGAAAGAAGAAGGACUAGGAGGAGGAGGAAGGGGAGGAGGACGAGGGCAGCAGUAGCCACGAUCGCCACCACCAGGCAGAGGAAGAGUUCAUGAGGAGGGACAGAUCUCCUCCCACUUGGAGCGCCUUCUGUCUGCUUUUGGAGAAAAGAAUAAAACAUAUACAAAGAGAGGCAGAGAAAAGGAAUGAGAAGUGAGAGAGCAGGAGGGUAAAAAAAAAAAAAAAUUAAGGCGAGAUCAGAGAGGGCUGGGGUGGGCAGGGGCGCGCAGGACGCGGGGGCGGGCUAGCCGAGCCCCAGUGCGGUCGCCCGGGCAGGUGCCACGGCUGCUGCCGAGAGGCGGCAUGUGACGCGCGGCCGCAGCUGCCCGCGGGCGGAGCGCGCUCGGACCGGGGAGCGCAACCGCGGGCCAAGUCGGCUGCAGCCGGGAGCCCCGCACUCGCGACCCGCCGGGAGGAGCCCGCAGCUGCGCUUGCACCCAGAAGCCGGGCGAUGCAGACAAGGGCGGCUCCGAGGCAAGAGCGAACCUGAGGACAGUCGCUGUCUCGGAACUCCCUGCUGCGAGAGACCGAGGUUCGGUAGAGCGGACUGGACAGUCCGGGAGAUUCGGGGAGGCGCGGAGGACUCGAGUGGGACAGCCACCUGGAGCACGGCUGCCAGAUAUGACCAGCAAUGGCAUCUACUUCACUUCUGACUUGCUCAGUGGACUGUGGAUUGAGUGAACCAUAUCCUUUCCCAUCAUGAUACACACCACAGAGGCUCUCCUCUUGAAGGUAAUUUUAACUGAGCUUUAUUUACAUGUUUAUGUAUUGAUAUUUUUAAGUAUAGUUUU